rnacentral:lncRNA from 1 species
AAACCAAUUAUUCAACUCCAUAAAAAUAAAAAUACAGCUACUAACAUUUAAGAAGAGCCCGGAAGUUUGCUCCUCAGUUUCAUUUCUCAAACAAAACCAUAAUUUCAACCACAUUAUACUCAUUCAAAAUUUUUUCCCUAAAUUAUCAUAAUAUUCCAACAUUACUUCCAGAUUCCCAAAGAAAAUAAUUAUGAAAUUUUGCAAAAACAAUUCACACCUUUUACUGUAGCUGUAGCCGUCAAGGAAGAGGUCGACGAUGCGAGUUCAUACACGGCGGCAAUGGCUUUCCCAAACUUUGCAAACUUUGCAAAUCAGUUCUUAUGUAAAAUGACUCACUGGAGCUCAACCCAACUUGUACAAGCUGUAAAAUGUUAUCGCAGCUACUAUUCACAAACGAAAAUCAAGUCGGGAGGAUGGGUCUGUUACCGUUUGGGCUUUGAAUGGGAUGAGAUAUUUGGGGUGCUCUCGUGGAAUUUGCGGAAAUCGGGUAUUGACCAAUGUUAUUUGUUUGGUUUGGCGCCCAUUUUAUUAUUCCCAGUAGCCAUAUUUCUUUUUCCUUCUUUUCAUGUGUUUUUUUUUUUUUUUUUCAAUAAUGCUAUGUCAGGUUGUAAUGCAAAAUUGUCAAAGGACAUUGUUCGUAUAGCAUUAUUGCAUGACAUGAAUCAUUUAUAUUUCAAAAUUUAUAAUUACUUUUCUUGCCUCAGAUUUAAUAGAAUAAUGCUAUCUCAU